rnacentral:rRNA from 1 species
UACGUAGGGUGCGAGCGUUGUCCGGAAUUACUGGGCGUAAAGAGCUCGUAGGUGGUUUGUCGUUGUUCGUGAAAACUCACAACUCAAUUGUGGGCGUGCGGGCGAUACGGGCAGACUGGAGUACUGCAGGGGAGACUGGAAUUCCUGGUGUAGCGGCGGAAUGCGCAGAUAUCAGGAGGAACACCGGUGGCGAAGGCGGGUCUCUGGGCAGUAACUGACGCUGAGGAGCGAAAGCGUGGGGAGCGAACAGG